AUUGAACGCUGGCGGCAUGCCUUACACAUGCAAGUCGAACGGUAACAGGUCUUCGGAUGCUGACGAGUGGCGAACGGGUGAGUAAUACAUCGGAACGUGCCCGAUCGUGGGGGAUAACGAAGCGAAAGCUUUGCUAAUACCGCAUAAGAUCUAAGGAUGAAAGCAGGGGACCGCAAGGCCUUGCGCGAACGGAGCGGCCGAUGGCAGAUUAGGUAGUUGGUGGGAUAAAAGCUUACCAAGCCGACGAUCUGUAGCUGGUCUGAGAGGACGACCAGCCACACUGGGACUGAGACACGGCCCAGACUCCUACGGGAGGCAGCAGUGGGGAAUUUUGGACAAUGGGCGCAAGCCUGAUCCAGCCAUGCCGCGUGCAGGAUGAAGGCCUUCGGGUUGUAAACUGCUUUUGUACGGAACGAAAAGAUUCUGGUUAAUACCUGGGGUCCAUGACGGUACCGUAAGAAUAAGCACCGGCUAACUCCGUGCCAACAGCCGCGGUAAGAC
rnacentral:rRNA from 1 species